rnacentral:rRNA from 1 species
AAUAGAUACCCGGGUAGUCCACGCCGUAAACGAUGUCGACUUGGAGGUUGUUCCCUUGAGGAGUGGCUUCCGGGAGCUAACGCGUUAAGUCGACCGCCUGGGGAGUACGGCCGCAAGGUUAAAACUCAAAUGAAUUGACGGGGGCCCGCACAAGCGGUGGAGCAUGUGGUUUAAUUCGAUGCAACGCGAAGAACCUUACCUACUCUUGACAUCCAGAGAACUUAGCAGAGAUGCUUUGGUGCCUUCGGGAACUCUGAGACAGGUGCUGCAUGGCUGUCGUCAGCUCGUGUUGUGAAAUGUUGGGUUAAGUCCCGCAACGAGCGCAACCCUUAUCCUUUGUUGCCAGCGGUUCGGCCGGGAACUCAAAGGAGACUGCCAGUGAUAAACUGGAGGAAGGUGGGGAUGACGUCAAGUCAUCAUGGCCCUUACGAGUAGGGCUACACACGUGCUACAAUGGCGUAUACAAAGAGAAGCGACCUCGCGAGAGCAAGCGGACCUCAUAAAGUACGUCGUAGUCCGGAUUGGAGU